UACGUAGGGUGCAAGCGUUGUCCGGAAUUAUUGGGCGUAAAGAGCUCGUAGGCGGUCUGUCGCGUGGCUGUGAAAACUCGGGGCUCAACCCCGAGCCUGCAGUCGAUACGGGCAGACUAGAGUGCUGUAGGGGAGACUGGAAUUCCUGGUGUAGCGGUGAAAUGCGCAGAUAUCAGGAGGAACACCGGUGGCGAAGGCGACGACCUGGUCCGAUACUGACGCUGAGGCGCGAAAGCGUGGGGAGCAAACAGG
rnacentral:rRNA from 1 species